UUACAACUUCCGGAACGACAAUGCCAGAUUUUCAGUUUCCGAGAAAUUAUAUUUCUUUGAUAGUACAUUUUCUUUAUGUUAACUAAACUAAGACCUAAGAAGUUCUAUUUUUUUCCAUAUAGAUCUAGAUCUAGAUUUCUAGAAGUCCUUUAAGAAAAGAUCUAGGCAAUAUUGAUUUGAAUUACUUCAAAUUCAGACCAUCACAAUUUUUUGCAUGUCAAUUAUUAAGCAUACUGUUUGGAUUCUUUAGAACUGAAUUCAAGUCUUCCAGUGUUUUUUUCAAGAUGGUGUGAAAUGCCAUAACUGCUGUGACAGAUGGAAGAAUGAAGAGCCAAACAAUAUUCAGGCUAUUAGUGUAGUAGCUGAGGCUGCGCCCAAUCCAAGUGAGGAAAAGUGCU